UGGUCGUAGUCGUCGCCGCAGAGAUCGUCGUUGCGGACUGUCGUGGUGCUCAGCAGUGCUGCUGCUCCCUUUUUGUCUUAAGCAAACAGGACAACUCCUGUUUCUCUACGCACAUACACACACACAUACCCUCCCUCAUCUCCACCCCCCACCCCCCGAGCACUAUGCUCCGGCGCUCUCCGGUUCCGCGUCGCUACCGCACGGCAUGGCGUGAGCUGCUGCACCCGCUCCCGGUGUGGGCUCGCAAGCAGCAGUGGCUAAAACGCGAUACCGUCGAGAUGAACGAGGCCAUCCUGCGUGAGCCCUACUACCGCAUCAAAACCUUCGCGCAGCCCGCCGCCUUUGUGUCUCCUCGCGUGAGCGAGAGCGCCACGCACGAGCCAGACACGCAGCAGAGCAGCCGCUAUGGCGUGGAUCGUCAGCUGCGCGGACCGCGUCGCGCAGUGUCGCCCGAGCGUCUGCAGGAGCUACGUGAGCAGCUGCAGUUUGUCGGGUCUAUCGGGCCUAAAGUGCCGCCGGCGGCGGGGGCAGGGCCGGCGUACCAAGACGAGUACGGGACUCGCCUGCGCCCGCGCUACCCACAGUCGUGGGAUACAGUGCCUCCGCACCAGCCCUCGCGCUCUGAGAUUUGAGCGUGCGCGAGUGUCUGCCGCCUCUGCGCGGCGGCGGCGGCGGCGGAUGCGUUGUGAUGGUGGAGGGUGCGAGUGUGCAGUUGACCUGUGCGUGCGUGUGCGUGUGUGUCUCUGUCGUAUCCUCUCUCCCUCUGUGUGUGUGUGGGGGGGGGGGGGGGGGGGGGCGAAGCGCAGGAGAGGUGGAUGCGUCACAGUUUUCCACGCGUCAACGAGAACGAAAGAAGAGCAAUGCCAACGACUGCACCGGUAAGGUCUGCCAGCGCGCCUGCAGAGCUGAGCGGCGGAGCGUGCCCGGCGUCGACAGGGAUAGCCGGAGCAGCAUGCGGCAAAGAAGAAAUGAGGGGUGCACGGCGGUGCCGAUCUCGCGUGACUCCGUAUGUGCGCCGGAUCUGUCUGCCUGUCUGUAUCACCACCCCCACCCCCACCCCCUCCCGCACCUCCUGUGUGCCGUGCGCUCGCACGGGCGCGUCUCUACGGUGAUGACGCCGUCUCUGCUGCCCCCACAAACGCCUCUUUCUUUCCUGCUGCCGCCCUUCUGCUCGAUGUGCCUCAUGACCCCAUCGUUAACACACACGAUGCAUACGUGCCCCCGACGCCUGGCGAGAGGUACGCCCUACCUCCUCCUUCCCCCCCGACGCCGCCAUUCACAG
rnacentral:misc_RNA from 1 species